rnacentral:rRNA from 1 species
GACAGAGGGUGCAAGCGUUGUUCGGAAUUACUGGGCGUAAAGGGCGUGUAGGCGGCGAAGUGUGUCCGGCGUGAAAGACCUCGGCUUAACCGAGGAAGUGCACUGGAUCCUACUUUGCUAGAGUGCGAGAGGGGAUGGCGGAAUUGUCAGUGUAGAGGUGAAAUUCGUAGAUACUGGCAGGAACACCGGGGGCGAAGGCGGCCAUCUGGAUCGCAACUGACGCUGAGACGCGAAAGCGUGGGUAGCAAACAGG